GUCUUGACUCUCUCAGCUGGUGGCAUUUUACUGGAGCCAUGUGCCUGAAUAGUUUUAAGGAGGAGCUGAAAAAACUCAUCAAGCAAAAUCUUUAUUUACGACACAUUCCGACCCUUGAAAGAAUGCCAUGAGAUGGACAUUGCUUACAAAGGGAUUAUAGCAUGACUCGCUUUUCCACUUAUCAAGGAGACCUUUCAUGUAAGUGUACACAGAUAAAUGGGAAACUUGUAAUGAUAUUGAGAGGUCUUUACUUUAACAUUUUUAUGUUUUGAUCAAUUCCUAAAUGGACCAGCCACUUCUCAGCUUCAGACACAUCUUCUUGUUUGAUAAGUACACUUUGUUUCUCCUUUCAUUUCUAACCUCCAAGGAAACAAACUAU
rnacentral:lncRNA from 1 species